rnacentral:rRNA from 1 species
AUGAGCAGCGGGGUUUCCACAGACCCUGAGAAAGUAAGUGCAGUUACUGAGUGGCCUACUCCAACUUCUCUAACACAGUUAAGACGUUUCUUGGGAUUGUGUGGCUACUAUAUAAGAUCUGUUCAAAAUUUUGGGUUAAUUGCAAGGCCACUUCAUGAUAUGCUCAAACAGGGAAAUUUCAAAUGGACAAAUGUGCAAGACAUAGCUUUUCAACAGCUUAAGCAAGCAAUGGCCACAGCUCGUUGGUGUAAUAUCUGCCUACCUUGUGUUUUGGAGAUUGUUGACAGAAACAGGUAUGGACUAAUUUGUUUGCUAGUGUACACAGAGAGAAAAGUCCAUACACAAUCAAAGAGAAUGUUGUCUCCGGUGCUGAGUUCGAGGAACUUCACCGAAGCAUAUCUGUGUUGCAGAGAAGAACAAGCUACAUCUGAUGAAAUGAUAGAGUUGAGAAGAUUAAUGUGA